UACGGAGGGGGCUAGCGUUGUUCGGAAUUACUGGGCGUAAAGCGCACGUAGGCGGCUUUGUAAGUUAGAGGUGAAAGCCCGGGGCUCAACCCCGGAAUUGCCUUUAAGACUGCAUCGCUUGAACGUCGGAGAGGUGAGUGGAAUUCCGAGUGUAGAGGUGAAAUUCGUAGAUAUUCGGAAGAACACCAGUGGCGAAGGCGGCUCACUGGUCCAUUACUGACGCUGAGGUGCGAAAGCGUGGGGAGCAAACAGG
rnacentral:rRNA from 1 species